rnacentral:misc_RNA from 1 species
GAUGAAGAACGUAGCGAAAUGCGAUAAGUAGUGUGAAUUGCAGAAUUCAGUGAAUCAUCGAAUCUUUGAACGCACAUUGCGCCUUUUGUAUUCCAAAGGGCAUGCCUGUUCGAGCGUCAUUUGUACCCUCAAGCUUUGCUUGGUGUUGGGCGUCUUGUCUCUAGCUUUGCUGGAGACUCGCCUUAAAGUAAUUGGCAGCCGGCCUACUGGUUUCGGAGCGCAGCACAAGUCGCACUCUCUAUCAGCAAAGGUCUAGCAUCCAUUAAGCCUUUUUUUUCAACUUUUGACCUCGGAUCAGGUAGGGAUACCCGCUGAACUUAAGCAUAUCAAUAAGCGGAGGA